GCCAGUGUAGCUCAAUUGGCAGAGCAACUGAUUUGUAAUCAGUAGGUUGCGGGUUCGAGUCCCAUCACUGGCUCCA
rnacentral:tRNA from 1 species